UGCAUAUCAAUAGCGGAGGAAAAGAAACCAACAGGGAUUACCUCAGUAACGGCGAGUGAAGCGGUAACAGCUCAAAUUUGAAAGCUCGCUCUUUUAGGGUGCGCAUUGUAAUUUGUAGAAGAUGCUUCGGGUGUGGCCCCGGUCUAAGUUCCUUGGAACAGGACGUCAUAGAGGGUGAGAAUCCCGUAUGUGACUGGGUGCUUUCGCUCAAGUGAAGCUCUUUCGACGAGUCGAGUUGUUUGGGAAUGCAGCUCAAAAUGGGUGGUAAAUUUCAUCUAAAGCUAAAUAUUGGCCAGAGACCGAUAGCGCACAAGUAGAGUGAUCGAAAGAUGAAAAGCACUUUGGAAAGAGAGUUAAACAGUACGUGAAAUUGUUGAAAGGGAAGCGCUUGCAACCAGACUUGCGCGCUGGUGAUCAUCCGGGCUUCUGUCCGGUGCACUCGCCAGCGCUCAGGCCAGCAUCGGUUUCGGUGGUGGGAUAAAGGCCUUGGGAAUGUAGCUUCUUUCGGGGAGUGUUAUAGCCCUCGGUGCAAUGCCGCCUACUGGGACCGAGGACCGCGCUUCGGCUAGGAUGCUGGCGUAAUGGUUGUAAGCGACCCGUCUUGAAACACGGACCAAGGAGUCUAACAUCUAUGCGAGUGUUUGGGUGUCAAACCCAUACGCGUAAUGAAAGUGAACGGAGGUGAGAACCCUUAAGGGUGCAUCAUCGACCGAUCCUGAUGUCUUCGGAUGGAUUUGAGUAAGAGCAUAGCUGUUGGGACCCGAAAGAUGGUGAACUAUGCGUGAAUAGGGUGAAGCCAGAGGAAACUCUGGUGGAGGCUCGCAGCGGUUCUGACGUGCAAAUCGAUCGUCAAAUUUGCGUAUAGGGGCGAAGACUAAUCGACAUCUAGUAGCUGGUCUGCG
rnacentral:rRNA from 1 species